CUCCACCAGACACUGGCACCGACCGCUCAGGCUGCGCUUCUCUGAAACCAGACCAGGAUUCAUUAACACACAAAAACACGCGUCUUUGACAUCUUUGACGGUUGAGUCGGCAGCCCGCGUGUUGACUGACUUUGGACGACAGGUCGUGGAGCAGCGAGCAGAAAUUGGAGUCCGCGGGCAUGCCCAGCGGGUGACUGCGCAGCUGCAGGAUCUUCUCGCCGGCGGAGUUCCUCAGCGCGUCCCACGUGCAGCUGUUGCCUUUGGUCUUGGACGACUCUGCCCUGCCCCCCGUUUGCUGUGCGGCGGCAAAGAUGAUAACAGGAGUCAAGCGCAGUGUACUGGCAUCAAUUGGUCCGCAAGAGGGCACUCGAGCAUAAAAGGUAAUGUCCACGUUUUCUUUUUGAGUGCGCGCUGCAGGAGCUGGCUCACCACGUUGAACGUGUCGUCUUCGGGGUCGGCGUCGGUGUUGGUCCUCAGGUCCACCG